rnacentral:rRNA from 1 species
UACAGAGGGGGCGAGCGUUGUUCGGAAUUACUGGGCGUAAAGGGCGCGUAGGCGGCCCGCUAAGUCGAACGUGAAAUCCCCAGGCUUAACCUGGGAACUGCGUCCGAUACUGGCAGGCUUGAAUCCGGGAGAGGGAUGUGGAAUUCCAGGUGUAGCGGUGAAGUGCGUAGAUAUCUGGAGGAACACCGGUGGCGAAGGCGGCAUCCUGGACCGGUAUUGACGCUGAGGCGCGAAAGCUAGGGGAGCAAACGGG